ACAAGUGCAUAUAAUAAACACAAAAAUCAAUGAUAAUUAUGCCAUUAUAUAAUUCCGAAAAAUUAACGCACUGUAAUCAUAUAAAUCUAUCAGCACUUUAUCAAAUUAAUAACAUUUAUUCUGUGUUAAAAUGCAAGCAAUUUAAUUGGAAUAAACUAUAAGUUAUAUUUUAUGAUAAAUUUGGUAUAUGCUAAUAGAUUACAAUGUCCUUAUAUGGAAAAAAUGCACACUAUUCUCAUAAUAUUAUUUAAAUAUUACAAUUUUAAUGAUGAAUUUUCCAUAACGGAUAUUCAGGUUCAUCGGGCUUAACCUCUAAGCAGUUUCACGUACUGUUUAACUCUCUAUUCAGAGUUCUUUUCAACUUUCCCUCACGGUACUUGUUUACUAUCGGUCUCAUGGUUAUAUUUAGUUUUAGAUGGAGUUUACCACCCACUUAGUGCUGCACUAUCAAGCAACACGACUCUUUGGAAACAUCAUCUAGUAAUCAUUAACGUUAUACGGGCCUGGCACCCUCUAUGGGUAAAUGGCCUCAUUUAAGAAGGACUUAAAUCGUUAAUUUCUCAUACUAGAAUAUUGACGCUCCAUACACUGCAUCUCACAUUUGCCAUAUAGACAAAGUGACUUAGUGCUGAACUGUUUUCUUUUCGCUCGCCGCUACUAAGUCCUUGUUAGUUUCUUUUGCUCCCCUAAUUAAUAUGCUUAAAUUCAGGGGGUAGUCCCAUAUGAGUUGAGGUUGUAUAUAACUUUAUCUUGCCAUAAAUUCUUUAUAUAUAAUGAUAAAACAUUUAAUUAAAUUCGUUAUAACAUUUUUAUUAAUUCUUGUAUGCAAAGUUUUUAUUUAUCCAUUUUUAACGAACCAACGAAGAAUAAUAACAUAACCAAGAUUUUUCUAUUUCCGAAUCAUUAAUAAGAGACAAUUCUAGAUGAAAAAUAUUUCAAUUUUUUAUGCUAGACAUUUCUCAGUAUUAUUUGAUUGAAAAAGAAAAUAUUUCUCUUCGUUUUUCACAUUCAAAUGUGAGAUAAUGUUUUUAAUUUAUUUUUUAAUAUUAUGAAUAAAAAUUAUUAUAUUUAUCCAAUAAUAUACCAUAUGCUUAUAAAAAUUUAUAAGCAACUUAAUUAGCAUAGUCUUACAACCCUCAACCAUAUGUAGUCCAAGCAGCACUAUAAAAUUAAUUAAAGUACAUAACAGCAUGGACUGCGAUAUGCGUUCAAAAUGUCGAUGUUCAUGUGUCCUGCAGUUCACACGAUGACGCACAGUUUGCUGCGUUCUUCAUCGACCCAUGAGCCGAGUGAUCCACCGCUUAGAGUUUUAUAAUUCAUUUUUAUAUAAUGUCAAUUAUGUUUUUAUUGAAAGAAAUUAAAAAUACACCAUUUUACUGGCAUAUAUCAAUUCCUUCAAUAAAUGUAUUUAUAUACCUAAAAUAAAUGUUGCGAAAUGUCUUAGUUUCAUAUAAGCAUUAUGUAUCAUAAUAAUCUGGUUGGUUAUGGGGUUUGCUAUUUUGGGUGACACAUACUCCAAUUUAUAUAAAACAUUAACCUGAUGGAUGCCAGGUACAACAUUGUUUAUUUCAGGUUGUUGCAUUAGCCAACGUAUGCCCAUAACUAAGAUGAACAAUACAUAUUCGCAACGCGUGCAUAGUAAUAAAUAUACACAAAUUUUAAAAAUUAGUUAAUAUCUACCAAUUAUAUUAACACUUAUUUCGAUGAUUACCACACAUUCGAAAUUAUUUUAUUUUGAUUCGACUUCCACUUUCGAAUUUUGUUUCUUCGAUUUUCAUGUUCGAAACAUUAUUUUUAUAGGAAACGCCGUUGUUGUAAGUACUCGCCACAAAUACGCACAACAUACAUUAGAAAUGUUAAAAUCUUUUUAUGAGGUUGCCAAGCCCCACACUAACUAUAUAAAUAAAACCCAUCUUCGUUUUAUUUUGAUUUUAACUUUUGAUUCCAUGGAAUCAUUUUGUUAUAUUUGAGGUAU
rnacentral:rRNA from 1 species